CAGAAGAAUAAGCUUGUGACAUCACAGAGAAUAUUACUAUUCCAACAAAAAUAACAAUAGCAAGUUUAGAAUUACUCUAAAAAAAGCAAUCUCAAGUAUGCAAAGCAAAGCACGCUCUAUAAAAUAAUAUAGAAUAUAUAAGACAUAUAAUGCUGUCAAACUUAGAUUUUUAUCAUCAACAUUUUGAAUACAGGGUUUUUCAAGUCGUUAAACAGCCUCUAUUUAUAAACAUGGCAAAACUUCCUUUAACAUCCUCAUCACAGCUGUAAUAAAUUUGUCUAUAGAGAUGUAGAAAGAGAGAUAAAGAGAGAAAGAGAUUAAAAAAAACAUACUGUUGACAGACACAAUAAUACAACAAAUCACAGCCCCUGCCAAGUAGCAUUCCAUUGCUCAUUUGUGCAUUUCAAUAAAGGAGAAAAAGCCCAACCACGUCAUGCGAUCUAUUUAAGGCGGUAUUGCUACAGGUCAGUCAAGAAAAGUGUUGACACUUGAGCGAAGGAUAACUAGUCCUUGAAGACGUUGAACCAACAGUGAAUUAUCCAUUUUUAUUUCACAGUUCAGUGAUUGAAGAUAUAUGCUCAAGGAUAAGAUUCUUUUCUUCAACCCUUGACACUUUCCACAAUGGAGUGGAGAGCUUUUGUUCUAAUAUGUACUUUUAUCUUAAUAGCUGAGCUGCAAACAACAAUUUCUACAACUGACACGACGAUGGCAACAACGAAUUCUAAAACAACCACCACUAGCGCAGCAGAAGCAUCUACGACAACAGAGACGUCCACAAUAACAACAACUGCUCCUGAAACAUCUACGACUACAGAGACAUCCACAAUCACAACAACUGCUCCUGAAACAUC